rnacentral:rRNA from 1 species
CAAACCAAAGCUGGCGACCGGCGCACGGGUGAGUAACACGUAUCCAACCUGCCUCACACUCGGGGGAUAGCCUUUCGAAAGAAAGAUUAAUAUCCGAUAGCAUAUAUUUCCCGCAUGGGUUUUAUGUUAAAGAAAUUCGGUAUGAGAUGGGGAUGCGUUCCAUUAGUUUGUUGGGGGGGUAACGGCCCACCAAGACUACGAUGGAUAGGGGUUCUGAGAGGAAGGUCCCCCACAUUGGAACUGAGACACGGUCCAA